GGGGCUAAUACCGGAUAACACAUGAAACCGCAUGGUUUCAGUGAUGAAAGACGGUUUUGCUGUCACUUAUAGAUGGACCCGCGGCGUAUUAGCUAGUUGGUAAGGUAACGGCUUACCAAGGCAACGAUACGUAGCCGACCUGAGAGGGUGAUCGGCCACACUGGAACUGAGACACGGUCCAG
rnacentral:rRNA from 1 species